GAUGAACGCUGGCGGCGUGCCUAAUACAUGCAAGUCGAGCGAACAGACGAGGAGCUUGCUCCUCUGACGUUAGCGGCGGACGGGUGAGUAACACGUGGAUAACCUACCUAUAAGACUGGGAUAACUUCGGGAAACCGGAGCUAAUACCGGAUAAUAUAUUGAACCGCAUGGUUCAAUAGUGAAAGACGGUUUUGCUGUCACUUAUAGAUGGAUCCGCGCCGCGUUAGCUAGUUGGUAAGGUAACGGCUUACCAAGGCAACGAUGCGUAGCCGACCUGAGAGGGUGAUCGGCCACACUGGAACUGAGACACGGUCCAGACUCCUACGGGAGGCAGCAGUAGGGAAUCUUCCGCAAUGGGCGAAAGCCUGACGGAGCAACGCCGCGUGAGUGAUGAAGGUCUUCGGAUCGUAAAACUCUGUUAUUAGGGAAGAACAAAUGUGUAAGUAACUAUGCACGUCUUGACGGUACCUAAUCAGAAAGCCACGGCUAACUACGUG
rnacentral:rRNA from 1 species